UUCAAACUUCCUCAAUGUGUCAAACGAUCUGGCUACCGCUGCAGAGAACGGAGAAUUCACGAAUAUCAGGGUGUUUCAUGAGCUGCUCAUAGAUUUGUUUUACAACGUAACACGGUCACUUACACCACUCACUGUGCAAAAUGCUGGUAAAGCGCUGCAAUAUUGUCAGCAUUUCAUCAAAACUCUUCUAUCAUCUCCGAUUUACGAGCGAAAAACCUCAUUUUGUGGACGACCGAAAUUGGCUUCUGAUCGAAACUCUCAUGUUGAUAAGGCAUUAGAGUUUCUCCGUCAGGCUCCCAAUCAUACCGAAGCCUACCGUUUUGGCCAGAUA